rnacentral:rRNA from 1 species
CCUGGUGCUUGCACCGGGUGGAUUAGUGGCGAACGGGUGAGUAUCACGUGAGUAACCUACCCUUGACUCUGGGAUAAGCCCGGGAAACUGGGUCUAAUACCGGAUAUGACCAGUCACCGCAUGGUGUGCUGGUGGAAAGCUUUAGCGGUUUUGGAUGGACUCGCGGCCUAUCAGCUAGACGGUGAGGUAAUGGCUCACCGUGGCGAUGACGGGUAGCCGGCCUGAGAGGGUGACCGGCCACACUGGGACUGAGACACGGCCCAGACUCCUACGGGAGGCAGCAGUGGGGAAUAUUGCACAAUGGGCGCAAGCCUGAUGCAGCGACGCCGCGUGUGGGAUGACGGCCUUCGGGUUGUAAACCACUUUCAGCAGGGAAGAAGCUUUUUGUGACGGUACCUGCAGAAGAAGCGCCGGCUAACUACGUGCCAGCAGCCGCGGUAAUACGUAGGGCGCGAGCGUUAUCCGGAAUUAUUGGGCGUAAAGAGCUCGUAGGCGGUUUGUCACGUCUGCUGUGAAAGCCCGGGGCUUAACCCCGGGUGUGCAGUGCGUACGGGCAGACUGGAGUGCAGUAGGGGAGACUGGAAUUCCUGGUGUAGCGGUGAAAUGCGCAGAUAUCAGGAGGAACACCGAUGGCGAAAGGCAGGUCUCUGGGCUGUUACUGACGCUGAGGAGCGAAAGCAUGGGGAGCGAACAGGAUUAGAUACCCUGGUAGUGCAUGCCGUAAACGUUGGGCACUAG